UGCGCUCCACUGGCAGGGAGUGACAGUUGUUACCGGUUCCCUGGUCAGAGUGCAAACCUUGGUUUCCAAAGCCGCUGAGGUAGAGAGCUGGCAGAAAACCCUGCAGCGGUGACAGAGACUCGGGGACGUAGCUGGCAUAAGACAGGAGCGGGAGAGAUGGGGCGCAGCGGAGGAAAGUGACAGGUGCUGUAGCGCUGCAUAUAGACUUGCCCCUGCUCCCGGGUGUGAGGAGUGAGGUCCCUCUGGAUCCAUGAUAGCAGCGGUUAGAGAGGCUUUGUGGAACUGUACUGAUUCCUACGCAGCUGAGGCAGAGCUGUAUGUGAGGUGUGUCGGGGGCAGAACCGGACUGCUCAGCCAGUAGGAGAGGAGCAGGAGAAGUCGGAGGAGUAUCCUAAGGCUAGGAAGAAUUCACAGGAGGUCACCACAUCAGAGAAGGGGUCCUGCUACACAGAGGCAACAACGUGUUUGGCUGGAUGUAGAAGCUGCUGGAACAACACAGCGACGCCAGCAGGCACAGGUUCAGGUACACCGGACUGAAGAGGACCUGUAAAUUAUUUUGGAGCCAGUGGAGGCAUUUCCUGCAGAAGAACAAACAACACAGGCAUCCAUUACAGAAAGUCAACCCACUGUCCUGGAAACCCAGUAUAUACAAAGCACACCACCACCCCCUACUGCAGAUCAACUUGCUAGGUCAUUAGACACUUUUAAAUCAAAGCUUGAUUCCAUUGCCACCCAAAGCCAACAAAUGCUCCAUAUGCAGGGCUACCUUAAAAAUAUGUGCCAGCAACUACAUAAAGUAGCACACACUGAAAGAGUAGCUGAGGGUACCAGAAUCCGGAUGGCAACAACUCUAGAUACGAGGCUAUCUGAAAUUAGUAAUGCACUAAGGGCCCAAACAGAUGCCAUUAGGGCACAGAAUGAAACAAUUGGGGCCUAAACAGAUGCCAUAAGGUCACAAACAAAUGCAUUAGUGUCCCUACACACACACACACCUUAUUGCUGAAGGCCAACCAAUAAUUCUAAAUGCACCUUCAACUAUAAGUAGUGUAUCAAGUACACCUAUAAGUACCUCUCCUACUACUCCCCCAUGCCGUAGUGUAAGAAUAAGGGGUUGGGUACCAAAAGUAUGCAAGUCUGCUUGCAGCAGGUCACAAAGCAAAAAAUUACGUGGGUCAACAUUUAAGAU